CCGCAUGGAGUAACCCAAGGGUGAAUCUGAGCGAUUUAAAAAUGGCGGAUGUCGCCGUUGGUUAUGUUUCUUCAGACGUGAUGGCGGAUUCCAUAGAUCCUAUGAAAACAUCUAUUACGAAGUCUGAAAAAUAUAAGGAAAGAAUUUAUGCUGUAGUGUUCCUGAGCACUGUUACUGGCAUUUCUGCUCUCGCGGGCUUUUCAAGAGCAAUAGCAACUGCCAGAAAGCAAGAUCCAAAAUACUUUGGUAAAGGAAUCUCUAGUGUUCAAGGGCUGCAUGAAACUGGAGCCUCAUUGGCACUGAGAGCUCUUGCUUGGGGUUCGUUUUAUGCUAUCACAGGAUGUGGUUUACUUUUCUAUGGAAUCUGGAAGAUUUCUGGAGCCACUAAUGCGGAAGAAUUUAGGUUUAAGAUGGGCUCUUUACUACCGAAAAUACCAAAAAAUGAUCCACCUCAAAGCAGGACAGAAUUUGGAGGUUUAAGAGAUUUUUUGACAUAUAUUUCUGAGGAUUGGGGACAAAGCAAGAAGGAAUAAAAAUUCAAGCGCAUAUACUAUUCACCUUCAUCCCAUGAUCGCUUGUACCGUUGACAUCUGGCAACGGUACGAUUAUUUAAAGAUCGUACGAUCGCGUAUACAUUUUAUUGGAAGGCCUUCUUCUUAAGAUUUUUAUCACGUUAUGAAACGCGGGAAAUUGUGGCAUUUCUGGAUCGAAGCACAGCAGAAUAUUGUAGGAUUAUUAAAGAACACUCCCGGACAAAUCAACUUCAAACUGACUGAGGAAUGUCAUAAAAUAUAGUACGCUAAAAGUAGGACGCCUUGUAUACAUAACACGGAGAAUGGUUCUAACCAAAGGCAUCUAAUCUAUGGAAAAGCGUUACCAGAGAAAGUGUAGCCCUACUAUGUUAGCAAACUACUACUGUCGGACA
rnacentral:misc_RNA from 1 species